GGGGAUAUGGCUCAGUCAGUAGAGCGCUUGCCUUGUAUGCACAAGAUCCUGGGUUCAAUCCCCAGCAUCACAC
rnacentral:tRNA from 1 species